UAUGAAGGGGGCUAGCGUUGCUCGGAAUUACUGGGCGUAAAGGGAGCGUAGGCGGGUCGUCAAGUUGGGGGUGAAAGCCCAGGGCUCAACCUUGGAAUUGCCUUCAAAACUGACGAUCUAGAGUAUGGAAGAGGUAAGUGGAACUCCGAGUGUAGAGGUGAAAUUCGUAGAUAUUCGGAAGAACACCAGUGGCGAAGGCGACUUACUGGUCCAUGACUGACGCUGAGGCUCGAAAGCGUGGGGAGCAAACAGG
rnacentral:rRNA from 1 species